AACUUUCAGCAACGGAUCUCUUGGCUCUCGCAUCGAUGAAGAACGCAGCGAAAUGCGACAAGUAAUGUGAAUUGCAGAAUUCAGUGAAUCAUCGAAUCUUUGAACGCACCUUGCGCCCCUUGGUUAUUCCUUGGGGCAUGCCUGUUUGAGUAUCAUGAACACCUCAACUCUCACGGUCUUCCGUGACGAGCUUGGACUUUGGGGGUUUGCUGGCCCUGCGGCCGGCUCCUCUCAAACAAAUCAGCUUGCCAGUGUUUGGCGGCAUCUCACGGGUGUGAUAACUAUCUACGCUCGCGGUUGUCUGCCAGGUAACCCUCAGCAAUGAAGGUUCAUUGGGGCUCAUAAACGUCUCUCCUCGGCGAGGACAGCUUUUGAACGUUCGAUCUCAAAUCAGGUAGGACUACCCGCUGAACUUAAGCAUAUCAAUAAGCGGAGGCU
rnacentral:misc_RNA from 1 species